rnacentral:rRNA from 1 species
UAGGGAAUCUUCCGCAAUGGACGCAAGUCUGACGGAGCAACGCCGCGUGAGUGAAGAAGGAUUUCGGUUCGUAAAACUCUGUUGUUAGAGAAGAACAGCGCAUAGAGUAACUGUUAUGCGUGUGACGGUAUCUAACCAGAAAGCCACGGCUAACUACGUGCCAGCAGCCGCGGUAAUACGUAGGUGGCAAGCGUUGUCCGGAUUUAUUGGGCGUAAAGCGAGCGCAGGCGGUCAAUUAAGUCUGAUGUGAAAGCCCCCGGCUCAACCGGGGAGGGUCAUUGGAAACUGGUUGACUUGAGUGCAGAAGAGGAGAGUGGAAUUCCAUGUGUAGCGGUAAGAUGCGUAGAUAUAGGGAGGAACACCAGUGGCGAAGGCGACUCUCUGGUCUGUAACUGACGCAGAGGCUCGAAAGCGUGGGUAGCAAACAGG